rnacentral:rRNA from 1 species
GACGGAGGAUGCAAGCGUUAUCCGGAAUGAUUGGGCGUAAAGCGUCCGCAGGUGGCAGUUCAAGUCUGCUGUCAAAGACCGGGGCUUAACUUCGGAAAGGCAGUGGAAACUGAACAGCUAGAGUAUGGUAGGGGCAGAGGGAAUUCCUGGUGUAGCGGUGAAAUGCGUAGAGAUCAGGAAGAACAUCGGUGGCGAAGGCGACUUACUGGACGAUUGUUGACGCUGAGGUGCGAAAGCGUGGGGAGCAAACAGG